GAUGAACGCUGGCGGCGUGCCUAAUACAUGCAAGUCGAGCGAACAGACGAGGAGCUUGCUCCUCUGACGUUAGCGGCGGACGGGUGAGUAACACGUGGAUAACCUACCUAUAAGACUGGGAUAACUUCGGGAAACCGGCGCUAAUACCGGAUAACAUGUUGAACCGCAUGGUUCAACAGUGAAAGACGGUUUUGCUGUCACUUCUAGAUGGAUCCGCGCCGCCUUAGCUAGUUGGUAAGGUAACGGCUUACCAAGGCAACGAUGCGUAGCCGACCUGAGAGGGUGAUCGGCCACACUGGAACUGAGACACGGUCCAGACGCCUACGGGAGGCAGCAGUAGGGAAUCUUCCGCAAUGGGCGAAAGCCUGACGGAGCAACGCCGCGUGAGUGAAGAAGGUCUUCGGAUCGUAAAACUCUGUUAUUAGGGAAGAACAAAUGUGUAAGUAACUAUGCACGUCUUGACGGUACCUAAUCAGAAAGCCACGGCUAACUACGUG
rnacentral:rRNA from 1 species